CAGCAGCAAAGAAUACAUUAUUGAAGAAAAAUAAACAUUUGAACUAGGUAUAACAUCAUAGUGACAAUGUCCGCCUAGUAACAUGGCCAUCCAAUCAGUGUCGUCCUUCUCCUAUAGUAGGCGGAGCAUUGAUGACCACUUCCUCUUUCUUUCUUGCGUAUCCCGAAGAAUAAACUCAAAACUCGGAACAGGAAACCGGAUAAACCAACGAGCCAGAACAAGGUAUGAGACUCCAAGAGCUCCUUCAACCCAGUCAUGCU